rnacentral:rRNA from 1 species
CGUGCAAAUCGAUUUAAUUUGAAAUAAAAAAAUUAUUUUUAAUUUUUUUUUAUUAUUUUUAAUAAAAAUAAUUUUAUAAAUUUUUAUUUUUAGUAUUGUUUAAAGAAAAAAUUCAUAUAAUUAUAGUUUAUUUGUAUUGAAAAAGAUUAUUGAAAUAUUAAUAUAUAUUAAUUAAAAGUAAAAUUAUUUUUUUGUACCUUGUGUAUCAGGGUUUAUUAAUUAAAUAUUAUGAAAAAUAAUUUUCUCGAUUUUAAGAGAGUUAAUAAAAUAUUUUUUUUAUUGUAAAAAAAAUAUUUAAAAUAUUUUAUUAGUAAUGAAAUGUUAUUCGUUCUUAAAUAUAUCUAGUUUAUUUAGAAAUAAAUUUAAUUUAGUUAUUAAUUAUUUUAAUAUUUUAAUUAUAUAAUUUAUUAAUAUUUUAAUAAUAAUAAUUUAAGGGAUAAGCUUUAAAUUAAAAUAUAAUAAUUUUUAUAAAUAAAUUUAAAUUUGUAAGUUUAGAAAUAUCUAUCAAUAAAUAAUUUGUUAUAAUUAAUUUAUAUAUUUUAUAUUAUUUUAUAUAAAAAUUUUAUAUUUUAUAAAUAAAUAUUUAUUAAUUAAGUUUAUAUAGUUAUAAUGAUGAAAUUAGUAUAGAUAAAUUUGUAUAAAAUAAUUUUAAAUUAUUAGAUUAUAUAAAGGAAUUCGGCAAAAAUUUUAUUCGCCUGUUUAACAAAAACAUGUCUUUUUGAAUUAUAUAUAAAGUCUAACCUGCCCAAUGAAUUUUAAUAAUUUUAAUGGCUGCAGUAUAUUGACUGUACAAAGGUAGCAUAAUCAUUAGUUUUUUAAUUAAAAGCUAGAAUGAAUGGUUGGACGAAAUAAAAUCUGUCUUUAUUUAAAUAAGUUUAGAAUUUAAUUUUUAAGUUAAAAAGCUUAAAUUUAAUUAAAAGACGAGAAGACCCUAUAGAACUUUAUAUAAAUUUUAAAAUAAUUAAUUAAGAUUAAAUUAUGUUAUUUUAAAAUUUGUAUUUUAUUGGGGUAAUAAAAAGAUUUAAGUAAUUCUUUUUUUUAUAAAAUAUUUAUUUAUAGAUUUUUGAUCCAAUAUUAUUGAUUAAAAGAUUAAGUUACCUUAGGGAUAACAGCGUAAUUUUUUUAGAGAGUUCAUAUCGAUAAAAAAGUUUGCGACCUCGAUGUUGGAUUAAAGAUUAAUUUAGGUGUAGAAGUUUAAAUUUUUGGUCUGUUCGACCAUUGAAUCUUUACAUGAUCUGAGUUCAAACCGGCGUAAGCCAGGUUGGUUUCUAUCUUUAAUAAAUUUAUAUAUUUUAGUACGAAAGGACCAAAUAUUUUAUUAAAUUUAAUAUGUUAAAUUUGAAUAUUAUUAAAUGAGAAUUACUUUGGCAGAAUAGUGUAA